rnacentral:rRNA from 1 species
GAUCAUGGCUCAGGAUGAACGCUAGCGACAGGCUUAACACAUGCAAGUCGAGGGGCAGCAUAAAAGUAGCAAUACUUGGUGGCGACCGGCGCACGGGUGAGUAACGCGUAUGCAACCUACCUAUCAGAGGGGAUAACCCGGCGAAAGUCGGACUAAUACCGCAUAAAACAGGGGCACCGCAUGGUGAUAUUUGUUAAAAAUUUAUUGCUGAUAGAUGGGCAUGCGUUCCAUUAGGUAGUUGGAGAGGUAACGGCUCACCAAGCCUACGAUGGAUAGGGGAACUGAGAGGCUGGUCCCCCACACUGGUACUGAGACACGGACCAGACUCCUACGGGAGGCAGCAGUGAGGAAUAUUGGUCAAUGGGCGAGAGCCUGAACCAGCCAAGUCGCGUGAAAGGAAGAAGGAUCUAUGGUUCGUAAACUUCUUUUGCAGGGGAAUAAAGUGCAGGACGUGUCCUGUUUUGUAUGUACCCUGAGAAUAAGGAUCGGCUAACUCCGUGCCAGCCGCAGC